CUAGUGAGUAGAAGUGUUGUGGUAGACUAGAGCCAGAGGUAACAGUGGGUUGAGGUGUAGUGGUAGACUAGUGGUUAGAAGUGUUGUGGUAGACUAGAGCCAGAGGUAACAGUGGGUUGAGGUGUAGUGGUAGACUAGUGGUUAGAAGUGUUGUGGUAGACUAGAGCCAGAGGUAACAGUGGGUUGAGGUGUAGUGGUAGACUAGUGGUUAGAAGUGUUGUGGUAGACUAGAGCCAGAGGUAACAGUGGGUUGAGGUGUAGUGGUAGACUAGUGGUUAGAAGUGUUGUGGUAGACUAGAGCCAGAGGUAACAGUGGGUUGAGGUGUAGUGGUAGACUAGUGGUUAGAAGUGUAGUGGUAGACUAGUGGUUAGAAGUGUAGUGGUAGACUAGAGCCAGAGGUAACAGUGGGUUGAGGUGUAGUGGUAGACUAGUGGGUUGAGGUGUUGUGGUAGACUAGAGCCAGAGGUAACAGUGGGUUGAGGUGUAGUGGUAGACUAGAGCCAGAGGUAACAGUGGGUUGAGGUGUAGUGGUAGACUAGUGGUUAGAAGUGUAGUGGUAGACUAGUGGUUAGAAGUGUUGUGGUAGACUAGAGCCAGAGGUAACAGUGGGUUGAGGUGUAGUGGUAGACUAGUGGGUUGAGGUGUAGUGGUAGACAGGUAGAUCAGUGACUUCAGGGGAAUCUGGUUGCUCUUAAAUGAUUCAAUAGUUGUAACUGAUCCUGUGUGUGUGUGUGUGUGUGUGUGUGUGUGUGUGUGUGUGUGUGUGUGUUUGGACAGAUUAAGCCCAUUCAGGUGUAUCACCCCCCUAUAUACUAGCUGCUUCUACUUAACACUACUUAACCCUAAAAUCUUCUUGCUGCUUCUUUUUGACACAACUUAACCCUAAAC